UUCUGGACGUCGGCUGCGGCUCCGGGAUCCUCUCGUUCUUCGCGGCUCAGGCCGGGGCCAGGAAAAUCUACGCGGUGGAGGCGAGCACCAUGGCCCAGCACGCCGAGGUGUUGGUGAAGAGCAACAACCUGACCGAGAGGAUCGUGGUGAUCCCGGGCAAGGUGGAGGAGGUGACGCUGCCGGAGCAGGUGGACAUCAUCAUCUCGGAGCCCAUGGGGUACAUGCUGUUCAACGAGCGGAUGCUGGAGAGUUACCUGCACGCCAAGAAAUACCUGAAACC